UACGAAGGGGGCUAGCGUUGUUCGGAAUUACUGGGCGUAAAGCGCACGCAGGCGGAUUGAUAAGUCGGGGGUGAAAUCCCGGGGCUCAACCUCGGAAUUGCCUUCGAUACUGUUAGUCUUGAGUCCGGGAGAGGUGAGUGGAAUUCCUAGUGUAGAGGUGAAAUUCGUAGAUAUUAGGAAGAACACCAGUGGCGAAGGCGGCUCACUGGCCCGGUACUGACGCUGAGGCGCGAAAGCGUGGGGAGCGAACAGG
rnacentral:rRNA from 1 species